rnacentral:tRNA from 1 species
GCAUCCAUGGCUGAAUGGUUAAAGCGUCCAACUCAUAAUUGGUAAAUUUUGCGGGUUCAAUUCCUGUUGGAUGCA